rnacentral:lncRNA from 1 species
AUUCUGAUUGACAUGAUGAAAUGCAAUAUGAAAUGCUAAAUGAAUGCAUGAAUGAGGAGGGCAAAUUUUGGGGUGCUACACCUUUCAACAGGAACCCUCCUUUGAAUGACAAACUUCCACUUGGCAGCACCAUCUUCCAGAUGGAAAGAGAUGUUGUCUAAGUGCACAGCUGCAACUUUGGCUGGAGACUUUUUCACAGUCUGCCUUUUAGCAGGAGAAAUGUCUGGGACAUCGUCUUCGACAUCAUCUUCAGAGUCAGAACUCUCUCUGACCUUCCUCUUCCUAACCUCUACUUUACUCCAUGAUUUGGAGGGUCCUACACCAGCAACCUUUU